rnacentral:rRNA from 1 species
GGCUCAGGAUGAACGCUAGCGGCAGGCUUAACACAUGCAAGUCGAGGGCAGCAUGAUGAAACUUUCGGGUUUCAUUGAUGGCGACCGGCGCAAGGGUGCGUAACGCGUGAGCAACUUGCCCUUAUCAGGGGGGAUAACCGGUGGAAACGCCGACUAAUACCCCAUAGCAUCACUUUAAGGCAUCUUUUAGUGAUUAAAGAAUUUCGGAUAAGGAUAGGCUCGCGUGACAUUAGCUAGAUGGCGGGGUAACGGCCCACCAUGGCGACGAUGUCUAGGGGUUCUGAGAGGAAGGUCCCCCCACACUGGAACUGAGACACGGUCCAGACUCCUACGGGAGGCAGCAGUGAGGAAUAUUGGUCAAUGGCCGAGAGGCUGAACCAGCCAUGCCGCGUGAAGGUCACGGCCCUAUGGGUCUUAAACUUCUUUUGUAAGGGAGCAAUAAGGUUCACGUGUGGACUGAUGAGAGUACCUUACGAAUAAGCAUCGGCUAACUCCGUG